AGUUGUUAUAGGAAAUAAAACUUGUAAGGUUGUACGGCAUCUGACCUCGUUUGUGUCUUAAUCUCGCUCUUGGGAUCGUUUAAGAACCCUCCCCGAUAUUGGAUUGGGACACUAAUCACACAUGAUGGCCAUUUGUUUAAC